AGCCUUUAGCCAAACAAGUAUUAAAGGUCCCGCCUGCCCAGUGAUAUAUUUAACGGCCGCGGUAUUCUAACCGUGCAAAGGUAGCGUAAUCACUUGUCUUCUAAAUAAAGACUAGUAUGAACGGCUAAAUGAGGACAAACCUGUCUCUUAUAACCAAUCAGUGAAACUGAUCUCCCAGUCCAAAAGCUGGGAUAAUUGCAUAAGACGAGAAGACCCUGUGGAGCUUCAAACUAACCACUAAUAAACACAACAUACCAGGAGUUUAAUAGUGUACAGUUUUAAGUUGGGGCGACUUCGGAACAAAACAAAACUUCCAAGCACGGGACCACAAGUUCCAACCAAGGCCCACAAGCCAAAGCUUAUAAAACUGACCCAGUAACACUGAUCAACGAACCAAGUUACCCCAGGGAUAACAGCGCUAUCUUCUUCAAGAGUCCAUAUCGACAAGAAGGUUUACGACCUCGAUGUUGGAUCAGGACACCCAAAUGGUGCAGCCGCUAUUAAAGGUUCGUUUGUUCAACGAUUAAUAG
rnacentral:rRNA from 1 species